GGAUUCACAGAGCACUGCGAGCCAAGGAACCACAAAACAGCCACCCAGGGAUGUCAUCAUCAGAUGGCAUUUCUAUUCAACAAAGGAAGCAAUUCUCAAGCAAAGCAGAGUCCAACAAUACACAUACAAAGGAGCGUCCCUCCAGAUCUACCAGGACAAUGCUCCAACAACCCUAGCAAGAAGGAGGGAAUUUGAAACCAAUUGCAGACCUCAUCAGAGCAAAGGGCCUACGUUUCGCCUGGGGUUUUCCCUUUAAGAUGCUCAUCUUCAACAGCCGGAGAC